rnacentral:rRNA from 1 species
UACGUAGGCAGCAAGCGUUGUUCGGAGUUACUGGGCGUAAAGAGUGCGUAGGUGGUGCCCUAAGUCUGUUGUGAAAUCUCCCGGCUUAACUGGGAGGGUGCGGUGGAAACUGGGGUGCUUGAGUGUGGGAGAGGUAAGCGGAAUUCCAGGUGUAGCGGUGAAAUGCGCAGAUAUCAGGAGGAACACCGGUGGCGAAGGCGGGUCUCUGGGCCGAUAUUGACGCUGAGGAGCGAAAGCGUGGGGAGCGAACAGG